AUUGAACGCUGGCGGCAUGCCUUACACAUGCAAGUCGAACGGUAACAGGUCUUCGGAUGCUGACGAGUGGCGAACGGGUGAGUAAUACAUCGGAACGUGCCUAGUAGUGGGGGAUAACUACUCGAAAGAGUGGCUAAUACCGCAUGAGAUCUACGGAUGAAAGCAGGGGAUCGCAAGACCUUGUGCUACUAGAGCGGCCGAUGGCAGAUUAGGUAGUUGGUGGGAUAAAAGCUUACCAAGCCGACGAUCUGUAGCUGGUCGGAGAGGACGAUCAGCCACACUGGGACUGGGACACGGCCCAGACUCCUACGGGAGGCAGCAGUGGGGAAUUUUGGACAAUGGGCGCAAGCCUGAUCCAGCAAUGCCGCGUGCAGGAAGAAGGCCUUCGGGUUGUAAACUGCUUUUGUCAGGGAAGAAAUCUUCUGGGCUAAUACCCCGGGAGGAUGACGGUACCUGAAGAAUAAGCACCGGCUAACUACGUGCCAGCCGCCGCUGUAA
rnacentral:rRNA from 1 species